AUUGAACGCUGGCGGCAGGCCUAACACAUGCAAGUCGAACGGUAACAGGAAGAAGCUUGCUUCUUUGCUGACGAGUGGCGGACGGGUGAGUAAUGUCUGGGAAACUGCCUGAUGGAGGGGGAUAACUACUGGAAACGGUAGCUAAUACCGCAUAACGUCGCAAGACCAAAGAGGGGGACCUUCGGGCCUCUUGCCAUCGGAUGUGCCCAGAUGGGAUUAGCUAGUAGGUGGGGUAACGGCUCACCUAGGCGACGAUCCCUAGCUGGUCUGAGAGGAUGACCAGCGACACUGGAACUGAGACACGGUCCAGACUCCUACGGGAGGCAGCAGUGUGGAAUAUUGCACAAUGGGCGCAAGCCUGAUGCAGCCAUGCCGCGUGUAUGAAGAAGGCCUUCGGGUUGUAAAGUACUUUCAGCGGGGAGGAAGGGAGUAAAGUUAAUACCUUUGCUCAUUGACGUUACCCGCAGAAGAAGCACCGGCUAACUCCGUG
rnacentral:rRNA from 1 species